rfam:Schistosoma rodhaini strain Burundi genome assembly, scaffold: SROB_scaffold0000340
AUCCAGCUGAAUAGUCCCACAGAGGAUGAAACGCGAGUCGUGGAU